rnacentral:rRNA from 1 species
UACAGAGGGUGCAAGCGUUGUUCGGAAUUAUUGGGCGUAAAGAGCUCGUAGGCGGCCGGUUGCGUCUGCUGUGAAAUCCCGGGGCUUAACCCCGGGCGUGCAGUGGAUACGGGCCGGCUGGAGGCAGGCAGGGGAGAAUGGAAUUCCCGGUGUAGCGGUGAAAUGCUCAGAUAUCGGGAGGAACACCGGUGGCGAAGGCGGUUCUCUGGGCCUGUACUGACGCUGAGGAGCGAAAGCGUGGGGAGCGAACAGG